UACAGAGGUCUCAAGCGUUGUUCGGAAUUACUGGGCGUAAAGCGCACGUAGGCGGGUUUGUAAGUCAGGGGUGAAAUCCUGGAGCUCAACUCCAGAACUGCCUUUGAUACUGGGGAUCUCGAGUCCGGGAGAGGUGAGUGGAACUCCGAGUGUAGAGGUGAAAUUCGUAGAUAUUCGGAAGAACACCAGUGGCGAAGGCGGCUCACUGGCCCGGUACUGACGCUGAGGUGCGAAAGCGUGGGGAGCAAACAGG
rnacentral:rRNA from 1 species